rnacentral:rRNA from 1 species
UCAGAUUGAACGCUGGCGGAAUGCUUUACACAUGCAAGUCGAACGGUAGAGGGGGCAACUCCUCGAGAGUGGCGAACGGGUGAGUAAUAUAUCGGAACGUGCCCAGUCGUGGGGGAUAACGUAGCGAAAGUUACGCUAAUACCGCAUACGAUCUAAGGAUGAAAGCGGGGGACUCGCAAGAGCCUCGCGCGAUUGGAGCGGCCGAUAUCAGAUUAGGUAGUUGGUGGGGUAAAGGCUCACCAAGCCAACGAUCUGUAGCUGGUCUGAGAGGACGACCAGCCACACUGGAACUGAGACACGGUCCAGACUCUACGGGAGGCAGCAGUGGGGAAUUUUGGACAAUGGACGCAAGUCUGAUCCAGCCAUUCCGCGUGCAGGAUGAAGGCCCUCGGGUUGUAAACUGCUUUUGUACGGAACGAAAAGGUCUCUAUUAAUACUAGGGGCUCAUGACGGUACCGUAAGAAUAAGCACCGGCUAACUACGUGCCAGCAGCCGCGGUAAUACGUAGGGUGCAAGCGUUAAUCGGAAUUACUGGGCGUAAAGCGUGCGCAGGCGGUUAUGUAAGACAGAGGUGAAAUCCCCGGGCUCAAGCCUGGGAACUGCCUUUGUGACUGCAUAGCUAGAGUACGGUAGAGGGGGAUGGAAUUCCGCGUGUAGCAGUGAAAUGCGUAGAUAUGCGGAGGAACACCGAUGGCGAAGGCAAUCCCCUGGACCUGUACUGACGCUCAUGCACGAAAGCGUGGGGAGCAAACAGGAGUAGAUACCCUGGUAGUCCACGCCCUAAACGAUGUCAACUGGUUGUUGGGUCUUCACUGACUCAGUAACGAAGCUAACGCGUGAAGUUGACCGCCUGGGGAGUACGGCCGCAAGGUUGAAMCUCAAAGGAAUUGACGGGGACCCGCACAAGCGGUGGAUGAUGUGGUUUAAUUCGAUGCAACGCGAAAAACCUUACC